UCUAAUAUCCCAGUGAGCAAAAACUUGUGGUUGUGGAACACAAAUAUUAGAGUUUGCCAAGAGGCCAUGUAAUUCAUGGAAAGUUACUGGUGGGUGACGAGUCAAAAGAUAUGAUUUUAACCCGUGAUAUUCAUCUCGUAAUCCAGAGAUAUAUGGUUAGCAUAACAAGGUAUACACACAUUUUGUUGGGGGAGAGGGUGAAGGCAGCAAUUGAAGCCAUGGGGUGUAAUCGGAAUUGUUGUGGUUUGAUCGGAAAAUGGUGUCUGAUCAGAUUUUGUUGUUAUGGCUGGAAAAAUAAUCAUCUGAUCAGAGGCUGUUGUAUGCGGAAGUUAUUGUAGUUGUUUGAUCGGAAUGUUGUCUGAUCAUCAGACUGUUGUUGAUGGCAGGAGUCGGCUAUGGAGGUGGAUCGCUUGGUUUAACAUGCGAUGUCUAUAUACUGUAACAAAUCCAUCGUGCUGAUUUCGAUUGUGUGGAACAAAGUUUUGAGUGAUUUUCUUUGUUAAUAAAAUUGAAGAGCAGAUUUCGAUUUUAA